rnacentral:rRNA from 1 species
ACCUACGGGACGCAGCAGUGGGGAAUAUUGCACAAUGGGGGGAACCCUGAUGCAGCGACGCCGCGUGAGUGAAGAAGUAUUUCGGUAUGUAAAGCUCUAUCAGCAGGGAAGAAAAUGACGGUACCUGACUAAGAAGCCCCGGCUAACUACGUGCCAGCAGCCGCGGUAAUACGUAGGGGGCAAGCGUUAUCCGGAUUUACUGGGUGUAAAGGGAGCGCAGACGGCUGUGCAAGUCUGGAGUGAAAGGCGGGGGCCCAACCCCCGGACUGCUCUGGAAAAUGUAA